CGACCGCUGGCGGCGUGCCUAAUACAUGCAAGUCGCACGAGAGCGACCGGUGCUUGCACUGGUCAAUCUAGUGGCGAACGGGUGAGUAACACGUGGGUAACCUGCCCAUCAGAGGGGGAUAACAUCCGGAAACGGAUGCUAAAACCGCAUAGGUCUUCGAGCCGCAUGGCUUGAAGAGGAAAAGAGGCGCAAGCUUCUGCUGAUGGAUGGACCCGCGGUGCAUUAGCUAGUUGGUGAGGUAACGGCUCACCAAGGCCGUGAUGCAUAGCCGACCUGAGAGGGUGAUCGGCCACAUUGGGACUGAGACACGGCCCAAACUCCUACGGGAGGCAGCAGUAGGGAAUCUUCCGCAAUGGACGCAAGUCUGACGGAGCAACGCCGCGUGAGUGAAGAAGGUUUUCGGAUCGUAAAACUCUGUUGUUAGAGAAGAACAAGUGCUAGAGUAACUGUUAGCGCCUUGACGGUAUCUAACCAGAAAGCCACGGCUAACUACGUG
rnacentral:rRNA from 1 species